CUGCAGACGCCAAAUCUACCGGAUUAUCUAAUACCAAGAUUAAAGAUGCGAUUCAAAGAUGUAGAGAAAGCAAGGGAAUUUUAUAACAGAUACGCCAGACUCGCUGGUUUUGGAAUCAGGAAGACAGGUGGAAAUGACAACCACAAGUAUUUUGUUUGCGCCUUCCAAGGGAUACACACAUCUUCUAUUUCAGAGGCCAACAGGAAGCGAAACAAAACAUCGUAGAGGAUGGGCUGUAAUGCAAGAAUGACGGUGAAGGUGCAGGAGGAUGGCACAUGCGUGGCAGUGGACAUUGAGUACAAUCAUAAUCACGAGCUCAUGCAAAAUGAUGACAUGCUCGUAUUUUUGCACUCACACAAGAAUUAUGACCCCACUAUUUUGGAGUGCGUAAAGCUCCUGCAGUACCAUGAUGUCAAGCACACAACAGUCAUGUCCAUGCUAUCUGAAAAUGAAGAUGGAAGCUACUUCCUAAGCAUGACCGGACGAGACCUACUAAACCAGAAAGCCAUGAAUGCAAGGAAAGAUGAUUUGGAUGAUGUAUUGAAACUUGUUUCAUUCUUCAAAGACAUGAAGGCAAUAAAUGAUGAGUUUUUCUAUGACAUCCAAGUGGACAAGGACAAGUCAAUUAAAAACAUUUUCUGGUCCAAUGCAAGCUGCCGAGGAGCCUAUCAAGCCUUCGGCGAUUGCGUAACAUUCGACACGACUUACAAGACCAACAUAUUUCAUAUGCCCCUGGGAGUGUUUGUUGGAACAAACCAUCACUUGCAGUCAACGAUAUUUGUUGUUGCCCUGAUAAGAGACGAAGAUGCAAAGUCAUUCAAGUGGCUGUUCGAUACAUUUCUACGGUGCAUGAACAACAAGCACCCAACUUGCAUUCUAACUGACCAAUGCCCACCGAUGGCGAAAGCUAUACCACAAUCAUUUCCAAACACCGUCCACAAGCUAUGCCGUUGGCACAUCAUGAAGAAGUACAGGGAAUACCUCACGUUGCUAUACAAAAAGUAUAAAACAUUCAAAGAGGAGUUCACAGCUAUAUUAAACUGGCCGCUGAUGCCAACGGAGUUUGAAGAUGCCUGGGCUAAACUCGUGCACAACUACAACCUGGAGAACGACCAGAUGAUGAUGCAGCUCUGGAGUGAUAGGAAGAUGUGGAUUUCAGCAUAUUACAAGAACAUUUUCUAUGCUAGAAUGACUUCCACACAACGAAGCGAGAGCAUGAACCACCUGCUAAAGAAAGGGUUUGUCAAGGGGACCCAGAACCUACACAAGUUUGCUAGGCGGGUCAAUGCUUGCAUACAAACUCGGAUGCAGAAGGAGAACGAGCAAACAAUGACCAGCAUGGUAUGA
rnacentral:rRNA from 1 species